UUGAAUGGCCGCAGUAUUUUGACUGUGCAAAGGUAGCAUAAUCAUUAGUUUUUUAAUUAAAAGCUGGAAUGAAGGGUUGAACGAAAAAAUAACUGUCUCUUUAUAAAUUUAUUAGAAUUUUAUAUUUAAGUUAAAAAGCUUAAAUAAAUUUAAAAGACGAGAAGACCCUAUAGAGUUUUAUAUAAUUUUAUAAUAAGUAAUUUUUGUAACUUUAAGUUUUUUUUAUUUAAUUGUAUUUGAUUGGGGUGAUUAAAAAAUUUAAUAAACUUUUUAUUUUUUUUUUUAGAACAUUAAUUUAUGAAUUUAUGAUCCAUUAAUUAUGAUUAAAAGAUUAAAUUACCUUAGGGAUAACAGCGUAAUUUUUCUUUAGAGUUCUAAUCGAUGGAAAAGUUUGCGACCUCGAUGUUGGAUUAAAAUAUAAUUUUGGUGUAGAAGCUAAAUAUUUAGGUCUGUUCGACCUUUAAAAUUUUACAUGAUCUGAGUUUAAACCGGUGUGAGCCAGGUUGGUUUCUAUCUUUAAAUUAAUAUAAUAUUUUAGUACGAAAGGACCAAAUAUUAAUAAAAUUUUUUUUAUAAUGAUUAUUAUUAAUGU
rnacentral:rRNA from 1 species